rnacentral:rRNA from 1 species
UUUCGUUUGCGGUGUCGUUCCCGGCGAUCACUCGGCGGGGUUGCAUUUCCCUGGCGUUGGACGAGUGCACUUCCACCCUAGUAGAAACGUCGCGACCCGUUGGGUGCCGGUCAAAGGCCUGGGAUGGCAGACCGUGUGUCAUGAGGGGGUUCCCUCAUGCGCGCGGACACCCGGUGUCCCGGCCGGCUGCCCGACGGUAUGACCAGAGGAGUCGAUCCGCUGAAUGGGAAACACUGUGGAUGUGUAGCGUCCGGCCCGGCUCCGGCGCGUGCGGGGAUUGAGGUGCAAACCGGGGGUGCCCGUGCUGAGCACGGCCCCGGCCCCGCUGCGUCGUCGGAUUUGCCGGUGUCCUCGGACUGGAUCGAUACUCCCGUCUGCGACGCCCACCUUC